GAUGAACGCUGGCGGCGUGCCUAAUACAUGCAAGUCGAGCGAAUGGAUUGAGAGCUUGCUCUUAUGAAGUUAGCGGCGGACGGGUGAGUAACACGUGGGUAACCUGCCCAUAAGACUGGGAUAACUCCGGGAAACCGGGGCUAAUACCGGAUAACAUUUUUAACCGCAUGGUUCGAAAUUGAAAGGCGGCUUCGGCUGUCACUUAUGGAUGGACCCGCGUCGCAUUAGCUAGUUGGUGAGGUAACGGCUCACCAAGGCAACGAUGCGUAGCCGACCUGAGAGGGGGAUCGGCCACACUGGGACUGAGACACGGCCCAGACUCCUACGGGAGGCAGCAGUAGGGAAUCUUCCGCAAUGGACGAAAGUCUGACGGAGCAACGCCGCGUGAGUGAUGAAGGCUUUCGGGUCGUAAAACUCUGUUGUUAGGGAAGAACAAGUGCUAGUUGAAUAAGCUGGCACCUUGACGGUACCUAACCAGAAAGCCACGGCUAACUACGUGCCAGCCGCCGCGGUAA
rnacentral:rRNA from 1 species